GACGAACGCUGGCGGCGUGCUUAACACAUGCAAGUCGAGCGGUAAGGCCCUUUCGGGGUACGACGAGCGGCGAACGGGUGAGUAACACGUGGGUGGACCUGCCCUCCAGCUCUGGGAGUAAGCCUGGGAAACCGGGGUCUAAUACCGGAUAUGACUCCAUGACGCAUGUUGUGGGGUGGAAAGCCUUGUGCGGCUGAGGAUGGGCCCGCGGCCUAUCAGCUUGUUGGUGGGGUGAUGGCCUACCAAGGCGACGACGGGUAGCCGGCCUGAGAGGGCGACCGGCCACACUGGGGACUGAGACACGGCCCAGACUCCUACGGGAGGCAGCAGUGGGGAAUCUUGCGCAAUGGGCGAAAGCCUGACGCAGCGACGCCGCGUGA
rnacentral:rRNA from 1 species